AUUGAACGCUGGCGGCAGGCUUAAUACAUGCAAGUCGAACGAGUGGCGGACGGGUGAGUAAUUAUUGGGAAUAUCGCUUAUGGAGGGGGAUAACUACGGGUAACUGUAGCAAAUCACGCGUACCAUAGGAUGAGCCCAAGUGGGAUUAGGUAGUUGUUAGGGUAAAGGCUCACCAAGCCAACGACCUCUAGCUGGUCUGAGAGGAUGACCAGCCACACUGGGACAGAGACACGGCCCCGACUCCUACGGGUGGCAGCAGUGGGGAACAUUGCGCAAUGGGGGCAACCUGACGCAGCAAUGCCGAAUGAAUGAAGAAGGCCUUCGGGUUGUAAAGUUCUUUCGGUAGCGAGGCGUUAACUACAGAAGAAGCACCGGCUAACUACGUGCCAGCAGCCGCGGUAAUUC
rnacentral:rRNA from 1 species